rnacentral:sRNA from 1 species
AGCUAGAAAGAAAGCCGCUAAUUUAUAUUCUCCAAUACGUAGUUUUAUUCGUAAUACCUCGUCCUGUAGUUUCUAAGUUCAAGUCUAUUCUUCAGCAAAAAAAACGCCUUUGAAGGCACUUUUACUUUUCUAAAUUCAGGUGAAUUUAUUAUGUCUAAUACUAUCCGUGGUACUGUUAAGUGGUUUAACGAAGCUAAAGGUUUUGGUUUCAUCGAGCAGCAAUCUGGUCCUGACGUGUUUGCUCACUUCAGUGCAAUUGCAAGCUCUGGAUUCAAAACUCUGACUGAAGGUCAGCAAGUUGAAUUUACUGUUACUGAUGGCGCUAAAGGCCCUCAGGCAGAGAACAUCGUUGCUCUGUAAUUUUACAGAUAACCUUGUUUGAAAGAAGCCAGUCCUAGUGACUGGCUUUUUUUA